rnacentral:rRNA from 1 species
CCUACGGGAGGCAGCAGUGAGGAAUAUUGGACAAUGGACGAGAGUCUGAACCAGCCAAGUAGCGUGAAGGAUGACUGCCCAAGGGGUUGUAAACAUCUGUUAUAUGGGAAUAAAAUGUUCCACGUGUGGGAUUUUGUAUGUACCAUAUUAAUAAGGAUCGGCUAACUCCGUGCCAGCAGCAGCUGUAAUACGGAGGAUCCGAGCGUUAUCCGGUUUUAUUGGGUUUAAAGGGAGCGUAGGUGGAUUGUUAAGUCAGUUGUGAAAGUUUGCGGCUCAACCGUAAAAUUGCAGUUGAAACUGGCAGUCUUGAGUACAGUAGAGGUGGGCGGAAUUCGUGGUGUAGCGGUGAAAUGCUUAGAUAUCACGAAGAACUCCGAUUGCGAAGGCAGUUCACUGGACUGCAACUGACACUGAGGCUCGAAAGUGUGGGUAUCAAACAGGAUUAGAUACCCGAGUAGUC